rnacentral:rRNA from 1 species
GACGAACGCUGGCGGCGUGCUUAACACAUGCAAGUCGAACGAAGAGCGAUGGAAGCUUUCUUCUCUCAAUCUUAGUGUCGAACGGGUGCGUAACGCGUAAUCAACCUGCCCUUCAGAGGGGGACAACAGUUGGAAACGACUGCUAAUACCGCAUACGAUCUAAUCUCGGCAUCGAGGAUAGACGAAAGGUUGCCGCUACAUGUAAGCUAUCACUGAAGGAGGGGAUUGCGUCUGAUUAGCUAGGUGGAGGGGUAACGGCCCACCAAGGCGAUGCUCAGUAGCCGGUCUGAGAGGAUGCACGGCCACAUUGGGACUGAGACACGGCCCAGACUCCUACGGGAGGCAGCAGUGGGGAAUCUUCCGCAAUAGACGAAAGUCUGACGGAGCAACGCCGCGUGAGCGAUGACGGCCUUCGGGUUGUGAAGCUCUGUUAAUCGGGACGAAAGGCCUUCUUGCGAAUAGUGAGAAGGAUUGACGGUACCGGAAUAGAAAGCCACGGCUAACUACGUG